rnacentral:rRNA from 1 species
GAUGAACGCUGGCGGCGUGCCUAAUACAUGCAAGUCGAACGAACAGACGAUGAGCUUGCUCCUCUGACGUUAGCGGCAGACGGGUGAGUAACACGUGGAUAACCUACCUAUAAUACUGGUAUAACUUCGGGAAACCGGAGCUAAUACCAUAGAAUAUAUUGAACCGCAUUGUUCAAUAGUGAAAGACGGCUUUGCUGUCUGUUAUAGAUGGAUCCGCGCCGCAUUAGCUAGUUGGUAAGGUAACGGCUUAUCAAGGCAACGAUGCGUAUCCGAGCUGAGAGGGUGGUCGGCCACCCUGGAACGUAGCCAGGGUCAAGAGUACUACGGGAGGCAGCAGUAGGGUAUGUUAGGCAAUGGGCGAAAGCCUGACGGAGCAACGCCGCGUGAGUUAUGAAGGCCUUGGGUUCGUAAUGAUCUGUUUUUAGGGAAGAACCACUGUGGAAUUAACCAUGGCGGUAUUGACGGUACUUAAUAAGAAAGCAACGGCUAACUACGUG